GCCUCAAGAAAGACAACAGGCGGGGCCAUGAUGGUGUCUGGAGGCACAGGCUUCAGUCUUGCCGUCAGUGCCUAUGGCCAUUUACUCAAAGGGGAAAUAAUUUGACCAAAGCCAGCCAAGGAACGACCCACACAAAACUGGAUGAGAAGGUUUCUGCUCAAAGGAACCUGAUGGAGCCCAGGACUGAGUCAUGCAUCAGGGCACAGACUGUGGUUGAACAGAUGAACAUGCUGGUGCCUUCUCUGAAGGAAGGGGACCCCUUGGUUGUCCUAGCUUUUCUGUCUACAUAUGUGUCUCUGCCACACCCCUUCAGGUAUUGGACCUGCUGAUUGUGAGGUACGCAUACUUCAGCCCUCAUUCUAAAGAGGAUGAACAAGUAAAAAGCACCCUCUGUAGAUUCAUGGAAACAUGGAUGGACAAGAACACUGAGGACUUUUGUGACCUGUCAGACCUGUUGCCUCUGAAAUACCUGAAGGGCUACUUGAGUGUGUACAUGCCCCACUGUCAUCUUAGUGUCCAUGUCAAGAGGCUACUGACACAGUUGGAGGAAGAACAUGUCAAGGAUUCCCCGGCCAAAGAUGAAGAAGACUCAGAUCUGGGGAGACACACAUCCUCAGAACCACAGAUUGAAUGGGUUUAAACCAACAAGGAAAAGAGACAAUCUGGAGCCUGAAACAACUUGUGCACCAGAGCUGGAGGGCAAAAAACCCUCUAGAAGUUUCUAUGACACAAGAGACUUUGUAGCCAGAUGUGUCAGCAGCUGCCCAAACAGCACACAUGAUAGCAGCUGUGGAACCUGUGUCUCAGUCUGUCUGUAGAUGCAAUGUAUCUGUCUGUCAUCUCCUGCUUGUUACAGUGGGCCUACCUAUUUAGAGAAUGGCCCUGUCAGCUGUGGUCAUCAAUUGGUGUCCAUCUUAUAUCUGAUCUGCGGCCCCUUUGCCUCAUGAUCAGCUGCUGAUUUCAAUCCAGCAGCAGUUCCAACCCCACAAGCCAGCCUUCCCCUCCCCUGAGAAAGAGCC
ensembl:lncRNA